GCAGUGGCAGCUCAGUGGUAGGGCUCGUGCCUGGCAUGCAGGAGACCAGGGUUUGACUCCCAGACAGUGCA
rnacentral:tRNA from 1 species